rnacentral:rRNA from 1 species
GUGGGGAAUAUUGCACAAUGGGGGAAACCCUGAUGCAGCGACGCCGCGUGAGCGAAGAAGUAUUUCGGUAUGUAAAGCUCUAUCAGCAGGGAAGAAGAUGACGGUACCUGACUAAGAAGCCCCGGCUAACUACGUGCCAGCAGCCGCGGUAAUACGUAGGGGGCAAGCGUUAUCCGGAUUUACUGGGUGUAAAGGGAGCGUAGACGGACUGGCAAGUCUGGAGUGAAAAUCCGGGGCUCAACCCCGGAACUGCUUUGGAAACUGUCAGCCUGGAGUGCCGGAGGGGUAAGUGGAAUUCCUAGUGUAGCGGUGAAAUGCGUAGAUAUUAGGAGGAACACCAGUGGCGAAGGCGGCUUACUGGACGGCAACUGACGUUGAGGCUCGAAAGCGUGGGGAGCAAACAGG